UCCUGACUGACCGAUAGUGAACCAGUACCGUGAGGGAAAGGCGAAAAGAACCCCGGCGAGGGGAGUGAAAAAGAACCUGAAACCGUGUACGUACAAGCAGUGGGAGCACGCUUAGGCGUGUGACUGCGUACCUUUUGUAUAAUGGGUCAGCGACUUAUAUUCUGUAGCAAGGUUAACCGAAUAGGGGAGCCGAAGGGAAACCGAGUCUUAACUGGGCGUUAAGUUGCAGGGUAUAGACCCGAAACCCGGUGAUCUAGCCAUGGGCAGGUUGAAGGUUGGGUAACACUAACUGGAGGACCGAACCGACUAAUGUUGAAAAAUUAGCGGAUGACUUGUGGCUGGGGGUGAAAGGCCAAUCAAACCGGGAGAUAGCUGGUUCUCCCCGAAAGCUAUUUAGGUAGCGCCUCGUGAAUUCAUCUCCGGGGGUAGAGCACUGUUUCGGCAAGGGGGUCAUCCCGACUUACCAACCCGAUGCAAACUGCGAAUACCGGAGAAUGUUAUCACAGGAGACACACGGCGGGUGCUAACGUCCGUCGUGAAGAGGGAAACAACCCAGACCGCCAGCUAAGGUCCCAAAGUCAU
rnacentral:rRNA from 1 species